AGGAAUAUUGGUCAAUGGGCGGAAGCCUGAACCAGCCAUGCCGCGUGCAGGAAGACGGCCCUACGGGUUGUAAACUGCUUUUAUACCGGAAUAAACCUUGAUUCGUGAAUCAAGCUGAAUGUACGGUAAGAAUAAGGAUCGGCUAACUCCGUGCCAGCAGCCGCGGUAAUACGGAGGAUCCAAGCGUUAUCCGGAUUUAUUGGGUUUAAAGGGUGCGUAGGUGGCCUGUUAAGUCAGGGGUGAAAGACGGUAGCUCAACUAUCGCAGUGCCCUUGAUACUGAUGGGCUUGAAUGAACUAGAGGUAGGCGGAAUGUGACAAGUAGCGGUGGAAUGCAUAGAUAUGUCACAGAACACCAAUUGCGAAGGCAGCUUACUAUGGUUUGAUUGACACUGAGGCACGAAAGCGUGGGGAUCAAGCA
rnacentral:rRNA from 1 species